rnacentral:rRNA from 1 species
AGCGAACGCUGGCGGCAGGCUUAACACAUGCAAGUCGAGCGGGCACUUCGGUGUCAGCGGCAGACGGGUGAGUAACACGUGGGAACGUACCCUUUGGUUCGGAAUAACGCUGGGAAACUAGCGCUAAUACCGGAUACGCCCUUUUGGGGAAAGGCUUGCUGCCGAAGGAUCGGCCCGCGUCUGAUUAGCUAGUUGGUGGGGUAAUGGCCUACCAAGGCGACGAUCAGUAGCUGGUCUGAGAGGAUGAUCAGCCACACUGGGACUGAGACACGGCCCAGACUCCUACGGGAGGCAGCAGUGGGGAAUAUUGGGCAAUGGGCGCAAGCCUGAUCCAGCCAUGCCGCGUGAGUGAUGAAGGCCUUAGGGUUGUAAAGCUCUUUUGUCCGGGACGAUAAUGACGGUACCGGAAGAAUAAGCCCCGGCUAACUUCGUG